AGGGUCUGGUCUGGUCUGAGAAAGGAUUAUGCAUCAGCAAAGAAAAUGGGCUUAAGAUACGGUAAUCAAUGACAAUUUAAGAAAUUGACUUCAACAGCCACCUCUAAAUUUCAGAAUUUUGAUUUAUCUAUUACAGGUUUGCUCAAGGUCUUCGUUUGCGGCAAGUGGACAUGCUACAGGAAGGGAUAACUGGGAGCUCUGCAACCCUGAGCAAACUUGCUGACAAGAUGCGGAGAGUUUGCAAAUCUGCGAUGAAGAGAAUGAGGAGGAGAGGCAAACAAGCUGUUGGAAGAAGAGGAGAACUCGUUAUGAUCGAUGAAAGCAAAUUUGGCCAUAAAAGAAAGUAUAACAGAGGACGGGCCUGUAACCGAAGUUCAUGGGUGUUCGGAAUGCUAGGCCUCAAGGAUGACAGAAGGAGACCCAUUCUUAAGAUUGUGCGCCACCGUUCAGCAGGCCAUCUCAUGCCCCUUAUAAAGAAGCAUGUUCGACGGGGCAGCUCCAUUAUUUCAGAUGGAUGGAGGUCUUAUCACCAUCUUCAGAAUGAAGGUUAUAAUCAUCUGACUGUGAACCAUCAGGAAUAUUUUGUCGACCCCAUUACAGGUGCACAUACACAGAACCUGGAACGUCUUUGGGGUGUUUGCAAGUCAACUAUAUGGAGACUAAGAGGGAACCGCACUCAAAAUAUGUUGAAAGAUCACUUAGAUGUAAUUGAGUGGACCUACUGGCGUGGAAACCAAUACAAAGAUGGACCACUAGGAAUGCUGUUACAUGACAUUAAGAAAAAAUAUCCUGUGAGAAAUGCAUGAGUCCUGUACUAUACUGUUCAUAAUGCGAGUUCAUACAACCAUUACAUUUUUUUUGGAUUGAUUCACUCUGGAUGUCUUCUUUACAUUUUUGGAAUUUAAAACUUUGUAGAAGGGAAGGGAAC
rnacentral:lncRNA from 1 species